rnacentral:lncRNA from 1 species
GAACCAUUUUCAUGUGUAUGCUUGGUGCACGGACCUGUACCUUGUAACACAGAGGUCAAUCUCAGUGAUACCAUCACCCCUAACAUAUCAACAAGGUAAAGUGUUUGGUAAGUUUUUAGGUUGAUUUACCUUAGCAGUGUUGUAAUACUCAGUUUUGCAGUCAGGUAGAAUACUGACAGACCAAGGAGGCAGAUCAUAUGUAGAUCCGCCAAACGAGACUCUUGCAGCAGAGCUAGCGUUGUAGUUUGAGAGAAAAGCAGCACAAGAUGACUUAGACUUGAACACAUGAGCCUGAAAAACAAAACAAGCAAAGAAGGUUAAUAACUUUUUUGAAAGUUUUUCAUCUCUUAUCAUGCUUAUUGAAUUUGUAUAACCUCUUGUUUAUCCCCAAGCGAUGUGACUGUAGGAUCAGCAGAGACCAGUGCUGGUUCACAGAGCUUGAUGACCUUAUGCAGCUUUUUCAAGUGACUAUACUUAGGUUCUCUCGGUAAACCUUUUGAACAAACAAACCAAAAAGUUAUUAGACAAUGGUUUGAUAUGUUUGUUACUAUUCUGUUUUUCAGGUGAUGAGAGUUAAAUUACCGUAUUCAUCAAGAGGAGCAUCAUAGUCAUAGCUGGUGGCGACGAAUUCACCGGCUGUUCUAUCAAAGUUUGUUCCUCC